rnacentral:rRNA from 1 species
UACAGGGGGCGCGAGCGUUGCUCGGAAUCACUGGGCGUAAAGCGAACGCAGGCGGACCGUUAAGUCGAAUGUGAAAUCCCGGGGCUCAACCUCGGAAGUGCAUUCGAAACUGGCGGUCUUGAGUACGGGAGAGGUGGGUGGAAUUCCUGGUGUAGAGGUGAAAUUCGUAGAUAUCAGGAGGAACACCGGUGGCGAAAGCGGCCCACUGGCCCGAUACUGACGCUCAUGUUCGAAAGCGUGGGGAGCAAACAGGAUUAGAUACCCUGGUAGUCCACGCCGUAAACGAUGAGUGCUAGCUGCUGGGGAUCUUUUAUUUUCCUCGGUGGCGUAGCUAACGCGUUAAGCACUCCGCCUGGGAAGUACGGCCGCAAGGCUAAA